CCGCUCUCCACCAGUAAGGAUACAACAAGGAGAGGCCGCCUACAAGCCAGGAAGACAAUCGUUCAGUAGCCUUCAGAUCCGCCAACACCUUGAUCCUGGGCUUGCGGCUGCCAGACCUGUGAGAAAGCGAUGCCCAUUGUUUAAGCCCCUGGUCUUUGAUCUGUUACCGCAGCGCGAGCUGACCACGCACUCAGUGUGAGGCGAUGACCUUUUUCUCAACCAUGCGCAAGUGGUAUUUCUGCGUGCUUCAAAUAUCACAGGCCGGAUUGUCAGGAAACCAAGGAGGGGCCUUUUGGAAGAGAAUGAUGCUGAGCAUCCGGGUCCCUGGACAGCCAGCAGCCCUGAGGCAGACAGAAGUUUGGACAACUCAGGACAGGGAGCUUGGAGGGCAGCCCCUACAUGUCGGAGUGGUCCCUACCUGUGUUGCCUCAACUCUUCCUUCAAGGCAAGAGCCGCUAAGGACAGUCAGGACAUCCUACCGCCCAAGGCUGUUGAGCUCGGCCGGCCAAGGACUACAGGAAGGAUGGCUGGGGAGGCCUCAGGAAACUUACAGUCACAGCGGAAGGCAAAGAGGAAGCAGGCAGCGGCUUCGUGGCAGGAGCAGGAGGAAGGCGGUGGGGAGGUGCUACAUACUUUUAAACAACUGGAUCUUGUGAGAACUCACUAUCACGAGAACAGCAAGGGGGAAUUCUGCGCCCUGAUCCAGUCACCUCCCACCAGGCUCCUCCUCCAACAGUGGGGAUUACAAUUCGACAUGAGAUUUGAGUGGGGACACAGAUCCAAACCAUAUCAGUGUCAUUAAAAAAAUAGUUGCCCUGCUAACUUUUUUAAUCCCCUGUAACUCUAAAUAAAAUAAUGAUGUGAAC
rnacentral:lncRNA from 1 species